rnacentral:rRNA from 1 species
UACGUAGGUGGCAAGCGUUGUCCGGAAUUAUUGGGCGUAAAGCGCGCGCAGGCGGUUUCUUAAGUCUGAUGUGAAAGCCCACGGCUCAACCGUGGAGGGUCAUUGGAAACUGGGAAACUUGAGUACAGAAGAGGAGAGUGGAAUUCCACGUGUAGCGGUGAAAUGCGUAGAUAUGUGGAGGAAUACCAGUGGCGAAGGCGACUCUCUGGUCUGUCACUGACGCUGAGGCGCGAAAGCGUGGGGAGCAAACAGG